UAAAAUUGAGAAUGGAAAUGGGGAAUGUGUCAAAGAGACAACAACCCGCCCAAAUAAAAAACAACAGCAGAGGGUCACCAACAGGUCUUCAAUGUAGCGAGAAAUUCCCGCACCCGGAGGCGUCCUUCAGCUGGCCCCUAAACAAAUAUAUACUAGUCCAGUGAUAAUGAACGCCAUACUAAUUUCCAAAUUGUACACAAGAAACUAAAAUUAAAAUAAUACAAGACUAACAAAGGCCAGAGGCUCCUGACUUGGGACAGGCGCAAAAAUGCGACGGGGUUAAACAUGUUUGUGAGAUCUCAACCCUCCCCCUAUACCUCUAACCAAUGUAGUAAAGUAAACGCAUAACAAUACGCACAUUAAAAUUCAGUUCAAGAGAAAUCCGAGUCUGAUGUCAGAAGAUGUAACCAAAGAAAAUAAACAAAAUGACAAUAAUACAUAAAUAACAACAGACUACUAGCAGUUAACUGACAUGCCAGCUCCAGACUUCAACUAAACUGACUGAAAGAUUAUGAUUUCAUCAUAUGAACAUCAGGCACAAUCCUUCCCGUUAGGGGUUUAGUAUCAUACCAUCAUAACAUAUAUGAGAAGAACAUAACCCGUGUCAUGCCAACAACUGUUUUUAGAAUAAAAU
rnacentral:lncRNA from 1 species